CCCUUAGAUGUUCUGGGCCGCACGCGCGCUACACUGACGAAGUCAGCGAGCAUGUCCUACGCCGACAGGUGCGGGGAAUCUUGUCAAACUUCGUCGUGAUGGGGAUUGAUUAUUGAAAUUCUUGAUCAUCAACGAGGAAUUCCUAGUAAGCGCAAGUCAGCAGCUUGCGUUGAUUACGUCCCUGCCCUUUGUACACACCGCCCGUCGCUACUACCGAUUGAAUGCUCAGGUGAGCCAUUCGGACCUUCAUCAUGCCGGUUUCCGGUUUUGAUGAGGGAAAGUCUUGCGAACCUUAUCAUUUAGAGGAAGGAGAAGUCGUAACA
rnacentral:rRNA from 1 species